UCGUAGAUUGAGCCUUCAACUUGAUCUUUCCAAACAAGUCUGCCAUGAAAGGCAAUCUCAUGAUGCCAGAGCAUAAGGCAGAAUAAACUCUUGCCUCUCUACCAAUGAAGGUUGUGUGUGUGUUAACUGCAAAUAAUACAACAAUAGAAAAGUGAGGUUAAGAGGACAGAAACAAAUGAAAGGUUAAAGUUUGAAGACAAAAGAGAAUGAUCAGGAAAGGUCGAGGUGAAUAGGAGUAAUUUAUCUUCUUUCUGACUUAAAUUGGGUUUGAUUGUGAUAGGAAGGCGAUCAAUGAUUUGUCAAUGGGUUUGAGCGUUAAUGGCCCCAAUGUUGAGUGCUUAUAUUUGAGAGCUUCAUGUUACCAUGCUCUUGGAUAAUACAAAUAGGCGGUCAAGGAUUAUGAUGCUACUCUGGAUUUGGAAUUGGACUCAAUGGAUAAGUUUGUGCUUUAGUGCCUUGCCUUCUACCAGGUUGGGGUAAUUGCUUUUGAUGCUUUAAUGCUAGUAUUGGAGCAGUUGCAGAUUACUACUUUGACAACUAUUGACAUGAAAUACCCUUUUGCUCGAAGACUUGCUCGAAGACUGGCUAGGAAAUUGUUGGACGAGUGCUUUGCAGUGAUUUCUCCGACGACGUAAGCUUCAUUAGGUUUGAAUCGUGGUGGGACUAGGGUUUGUUGGUUGAUGGAGGCUUCGUGGUUCGUCGACGUCGGCGUGAGGAGGCGACAGUGCUGAUGAAAGGCUUGCUGGUCUGUUCAACGAGGUGGAGGUUUGGUGCAGCUCUAGGCUUGGACGAAUAAGCUGUCUCGUCUCUACAAAUCGAACCAGGUUUCAAAUUAUUUACGAAACGCCUAUUUGCUAGUAUAUCUUGAUUUCAACUGGUUAUAUUUUUUGGAUGGAUGCGGGUUCUUUAUUGCAUGAACUAACCAAUCCUUGUUUGUUAAUACAAGUUCCUUAUAAAUCAUUCUUUACUUAAGAUGUUAUGAAUGAUGCUUUAAGUACAGUGAAUAAUUGUUGUAAAAAAAGGGUUAAUUAUAGUUGAAGUGAAUAGACAUUGGCUUAAUGAAGGAAUUAGGAGUAACAAUGGUCCUUUGCGUUAUUCGAUUUGUCUAUGGUAGGCAGCAAGAAUCAAAUUCCCCUCAACACCUUUCGAAAAUGAUUUCUACUAUUCAACACCUUGUUUGGAUCAACACAACCGUUCACUAUCACCCUGCUUUGCUUUCGGUGUAUCUCCAUAGAUUUUACUCCUGCAACACAUGCACAAUGUAUCAUUAACCUUCUAGUAAAACUUGUUUUGCAUAAUGAUGUGUUAUAACAUAUAUGAGUAGCUGCUAUGGUAAGACGAAUGAAAGUAGAAAAGUGUGAGGGGAAGAAGAGAGUAUAAUAGAAAAUGGUGUGAAAAUUAAAGAAGUUCCUACCUGCAUUGUUUUGGUCUUUGGGGUUGGAACUGUGCAAAAAGAAAAGGAAGUAGAAGGAGAACUAGAAUAGAAUAAAAAAAUAUUGAACAAAUAUCUCCCACAUAACCAAUUAACCAUUAACACACACACAAUUCUUAAUCAUAGUUUCCUCUUCUAGAAGUCUGAGCUUCAACCGAUCAUAGCAUAGCAUAGCAUUAUUUGCUUCAUGUGUGAUGGAAGCAGUCUCCGCCUUCAAGAAUGGAGGGGCUUCAAGCUUCAGAAGUGGCAACAGAAUGAUGAAAUGGUUAAAUGAAGCUGAUGCACGGAAGUUGUUUAAUAGAAUGGUUGAACGUGUUUGGAUAUGGUUUGGAAGUAGAAUUCUAGCUCGGACAGCUUUCCUAAGGGGAAAGAAGCUAAAGGAGGCAAAGCUAAAGCAAUGCAAAGUGUUUGAACUUGAGAGAAGUGGCUGAAUUUUGACAGCAUUUCACUAUUACAAUCAAGUUAAGUUUAAAAUGGAUUCAAGCCUUCUUUUAUAGGAGAAGGAAAGCUUGUUAACGUGCUAAGGAAGCUACUGAUUUUGCUUAUUACAGUGUGGAAGAAUCUGGCCAGCAUGGAAUGCAUAUUUAACACGUUUAAAAUGCAAAUAUGGUGAUGCAAAAACGUUGGCUGGUCCAUGGUUGUAUCUCGGUGCCUGACUACAUGUUUAACGUGGGAAAUGUUGUUGGCUGCUAUGUUGAACACGUGCUUCAAAGGUGCUUCACGGUUGACUGUGUCCAUGUGAAAAAUAUGCAUUACAACUGCUGCAACUUGCUCUCCUACUUGCUUCCUUUUGCUUGGCAAACCUUCUAAGAUGUAUGUGCAUAGUUCUCCAUCCUUAUUGGUGACCUACAAAACAAAGGAAAUGGAUUUAGUUAAAGAGAAUCUAUCUAAGACAUAGAUAAGGAAAGAGUUUUGGAAAUCUUUAUUCUACAUCCCUUUCAUUAGUCUUAGUUGUAGUUGUUACUUCUUUGGAUGGGAAGUCCCUAAAGGGAUUGCCAUCGUUGUGCCAAGCCUCUCAGAUAAAUUCCAGUAGUCUUCACAGGAUGCCAAGCCUACACGAUCAAUAACAGAAGCACCUUCUUGUGUAGAUGUUGAUAAGCCAGUGAACGUGCAAUUGAAUCUCCUCUUUGAAUCUUUUUCAAGAAAGAUCAUCACUGUUUUCUUGGAGAAUUCUUGGAGUAACGAGAAAUCUAAAACAGAAAUGAAAUUGUCAGAUCAUCAAAAGUCUUAUGGAAAGAGUUUUGUUUAUCACAGUGUGUUUGAGCACAUCAGACUAGCAUACUCAAAUAUAUAUGGAAAGACGCGCUAAGGAUUUUCAUUGUCACUCCUAAAUUUGAGUUCUAACGUUAUUAAAUUAGACUUUUUAAAAACUUUAUAUCACAUAAUCGAAUAUGUUAUUUAAACAGUUGACUAAGACAUAUGAAAAAUAGAGUUCAUUACACAUUCAUUCAAUCAAUCAGACAGAUAAUGUAUACAUAUUAUCACACGGCAACAACCAAUGUAGUUUAAGCAGUAAUGCAGUAAAUUGAUAAAGAUUUACCAGUUGUAGAUACUCAAGAUUUUUUAUUUAAUCUAGAUUGAUUCAUCCUUGAGAUCACACUACAUCAGCUUUUUAUUUCCUGCAACAACAAAUUAAGAUUUGGUUGCUGGUACCCAUUUAACUUUGGGUCCUUGAUUGUCAGUCCUUGUUACCAGUUCCUUUGGUUUCCAAACAAAUAAUUUUUGAGGAACAACAACAUUUCUAUAAUAAUAGUUUCUAACAGUAUGACCAACACAAUUAUAAUAGAAACAUGCAUUUUUAGCAGGUUUACUUAAAUCAGCAAAUCUCUUAGUAUUGGUUCUGCUAGAUUGAACUUUGUAGCCUAUUCCUUGCUUGAAAAUAGCUCUGUUAGAUGAGUUUAGUACAACAUUUAAAUUGUAUCUUCCUUGAAUAAACUUAGCUAGCGUGCUAGUUAAGUAAUCUAUCUUUUCAACAUAAGUAGGACAAUUUUCACAGAUUUUAUCCACUGUUACAGUUUCAAUCUUGACAUUUUUAGUAGAUAACUGAUAACAGUCUAAAAACCGUUAUUUUUAUACUUAAAUUAGGUAUUAAAAUACACCCUUUAUGGCUUAGAAUGAACUUUAAAUCAAGUAAAACACUUAGU